UAAAAAUUAAUAAGUACUGAAUAUUUUGGUCUAUGGAUGUGGUGUCGAUUCGAGCCCAAAGACUGAAUGGAGGUUUUACAUAAGUCCCCGGUCAGCAAACUUGAUCAUUUCCUCCAUUUUAGUUGUUUACAUUUUUAAAUAAACCAUUUUGAGUUACACUGCGCACGAUUAACGAUUCCAGGUGGUGAAAAUGUGCAGGUGCAUCACUGCAUGCAUGGUGCGACAUUCGCGCUCGUUCGACGGAGAACUGUGGUGUCGUCUUCAUCAUUCGAAACGGUGCUCAAACAUGUGCUUUCGUAGCUGAGUUACUCUAGAUGCUCUCAAUCUGUGGCAUAUAUCAUGAUUAAAUAACCAUUCUCUGAUUACCUCAAGGCAUAAUUUGGUUUGUGUUCAGGCGAUAAUACUGUGCAUCAGAUAAAACUGGCAUCAUUAUUUAGUGCUCAUGAAUGCGCGAGCUUUUCAGAGAUCAACGGAUAUUUAUACUUUAUGGCGGCGUCUUUAUGCAUACUAUUUUCCACGCCGUAACUGAGAUGCACUCUGCGAUGGUGCAUGCCACAUCUUGAUUGGGGCCUUGCGCGCCUUUCCAGUGCGAAAUUUGCUGGAGUACAGUGGCAUAGACAGUCGUUUGAUAAGAUCCUGUGCGGAGCAUGUGGAAAAAACAAUGCGCGGAGAAAGGCGGAGUAUUCCGUAUUCCGUAGCGGGGCGCUUAAAGAAAGUCUAAGCACCUUAGCGCAAGCAGCAUUCUGAUUGAUGACAAAGCAGUGUUACUAUGUCCCAGUGGCACCAGAAAAGAGCGGGCACGCCCGGAGGAUGUUGACUGCAACGACUUUCUCACGUGAAUUACAACGCCAUUUAAAAAGGUCAAGCGUUUUGUUCUUCAGCACCGUUACGCAUUGUGCCAAGUGGUUUGACUGCAAGAUACGGCCACUGGAUCGGUUGGAACUAUCGCUGAUCCAGCGCAACCAUACAGCCUCCAUGCCCGAGUUUGGAUGCCAAGCCGUGUAUGCAAUUUAAGCUUAAUAAAUCGUGUAUGCCUGUGGAUCGAAAUGAAUGGUAUUGAGUAUCGACGACUCCUUCAGUAACAGUGUUGCCGAUGACUGAAGCAAGUGACCGACAUUUAGUAUGCAGGAUGAAAAUACUAAAUCACAUUAAAUUCUCAUCGUCACAAGGUCCCGCACACUGCCGAAGUACAACCCGUAUAAGUCCCGUACAGUGCCGACACCGCAUACUGCCGAAGUACAACCGAUAUUCCAAGCGGCUGACUUCAACCUACACUUUAGGCGCGAGAACCGCCUACAGCUUUGCCGGUGGACUGUCGGACAGGACGGUGAUGUUUACCCGCCGGGAUGUUUAUCUGUACGGGGUCCCUCCUUCGUGCAUGUUAUGCGAUCGAUCGGCGGUGUGCAGCAGAGAUGAUCUUCUUGAAAUUAGAGACCAGUGGAAUAAAUAGGGGAAAGUGGCGGAAUCAGAGAAGAAGAAACCGUCAGUGACGCGAACCGUUCUCCAUGCAGAUUGAUCAAAAGCCGCACUGGUCAUGUGUGUCGGCUGUGAUGAACAUGAACUUAUAAAGAUGACGCUGGAAAUUAUAAAGAUGACAAACCAGGCCACCAGCUUAGUUAAAGUGUUAGCCUAUUAGUGCUCUUAUGCUACAGUAUGUAGCGGACUUUUAUUUCUCGGUCUUGCUUUCUGUAUUGGUGGUGGUUCUCGAAAAAGAGCUGACUGCGAUUAGGAAAUAUUACAUGGCUGAUUUUCAGUCGUAAGAUAUUAAUCAGUUUGCGUUGCCCAAUAAGUGGAAUAAAAAAU